rnacentral:rRNA from 1 species
GACGAACGCUGGCGGCGUGCUUAACACAUGCAAGUCGAACGGAAAGGCCCUGCUUUUGUGGGGUGCUCGAGUGGCGAACGGGUGAGUAACACGUGAGUAACCUGCCCUUGACUUUGGGAUAACUUCAGGAAACUGGGGCUAAUACCGGAUAGGAGCUCCUGCUGCAUGGUGGGGGUUGGAAAGUUUCGGCGGUUGGGGAUGGACUCGCGGCUUAUCAGCUUGUUGGUGGGGUAGUGGCUUACCAAGGCUUUGACGGGUAGCCGGCCUGAGAGGGUGACCGGCCGGCGUGGGAGUGCGGGCAGCCGCCGACUGCGAGGGGGGGGAGAGGUGGGGACGAUGGAGCGGGGGGCGGAGGGAGGAGGAGGAGGGGACGGGGGCGGUGGGAAGGCUGUGCGAUUGGAUGCUGUGGUGGCGUGGUGCGAGGGGGGAGGGGAGGGAAGGGGUAAAGAAACACCGGCCAGCUAGGUGCCAGCAGGUGCGGGAAUCGUAGGACGAGCCCACGCUUCACC